AUUGAACGCUGGCGGCAUGCCUAACACAUGCAAGUCGAACGGCAGCACAGUAAAGAUUUCGGUCUUUAUGGGUGGCGAGUGGCGGACGGGUGAGUAAUGCGUAGGAAUCUGUCUUGGAGAGUGGGAUAACCCGAGGAAACUCGGGCUAAUACUGCAGGAUAUCGAGAGAUCAAAGGCAGGGGACCCUUCGGGGCCUUGCGAUCUAGGAUGAGUCCACGUCGGAUUAGCUAGUUGGUGGGGUAAAGGCCUACCAAGGCGACGAUCCGUAGCUGGUCUGAGAGGAUGACUAGCCACACUGGGACUGAGACACGGCCCAGACUCCUACGGGAGGCAGCAGUGGGGAAUCUUGGACAAUGGGGGAAACCCUGAUCCAGCGAUGCCGCGUGUGUGAAGAAGGCCUUCGGGUUGUAAAGCACUUUAGUUGGGGAAGAAAAGUAAUGAGUGAAUAGCUGAUUGCUCUGACGGUACCCAAAGAAUAAGCACCGGCUAACUCUGUGCCAGCCGCCGCGGUAA
rnacentral:rRNA from 1 species